UACCUUCAGAAUUUUUUUUAGCCAAAAUAGGAGCAAGAAACUCUCGGCAGAACCGCCAGCCCCACUAACUCUUCCUGUCUCCCCUGCAGCAUCCAGCGCCGGCUGUCGCUCCAGCUCCCCAUCCUUCACCACGCCUACCUCCCAUCCAUCGGAGGCGUGGAUGCCAGCUGCGUCAGCCCCUGUGUCAGCCCUACCGCCAGCCCUCGCCACAGACACGUACCACCCUCCUUCCGAGUCAUGGUCUCGGGCCUGUAGGGGUGGGAGGCCUGGGGCCGGGGCCUCCCCGGGACAGCACCAUGCUGGGCCAAGGCGCCUGCCACAGGCACACUGACGGUGGCGAGAAGCUGGGCACCAUGCUGCCUCUCCAGACUGCUGGAAUGGCGCUCAGGCAGAGCGGGACUCGGCACCGACCUCGAGCCUUAUCUGUGAAGGUCUUACUCUCACAGAGGAGAGGAAUGACAAUGACUUCUCCUUCUUGGCGUCUGCAAACAAAGAGGAGUUGGGAUGUCUGAAACUUGCAAAAACAAAUCAAACUCUAGACAAAGGAGAGAGGCCUCGGACUCCUGCUGUCCUCGCCAAGUGGCCAGAGCAAGGGCUCUGCAGAAAUGGCCCUCGGCACUCUGCACACACGUCAUCGGUGGUGCCCGCCCCCACACACCAGCCCUUCUCCACUCUGGGGGAGAAGGUGAGCAGGGCCACCAGGUCCCCAGCAGCUGGCCCAGUCCACUUCAGACUUCCUGGAACAAGGGAGUCAGCAGGAAGGGUAGCCGGGCUCUGCCCUGGGGCUGGGGGAACCAGAGCAAGCAGCUGCGCAUGCUCCCAGGGGACAUCCAUCAGAAGAGAGAUGUUUGUUACUCUCUGAUAAAUGCCACACAUUAACACAAUAACACCCGUUCCGGGGACUGUGGGGAUUCAGGGCACCGCACUGCAGACAUGCUCUGCAGGAUGCAACAGACAGUCUGUCAUGCACCUACCGUGUCGGCCAUGUUCUUGUGUUCAAAUUUAGGGUUCCCGGUAAUAAGGGGAACCAUCUGAGCUAAUCAUGGAAUGUCUGCUCCCAGAAAACACGAUAAAGAAAGAUUGUGCACUUUAACCUCUCCCAUGGGGGCCCAAGGGCUGCUGGGAUUCCCCCUCUCCCAACACACUGACUUUGUUUUUGACCAAAGUGAAUCAGGGGCAUUCUGCUAAAAGUCAUCUCUGUGUUCCUGAGCUAGAGCUGCUGGCCCAGGGCCCCCUGGCUUCCAGAAGGUAGCCCUCCAGUGCCCCUCCAGCCCUAACCCGUGAGUGCCCACCUAGGGUGUCACUGAGGCGGUCAGUCAGCAGGCUGGUUCCCAUCCAUCACGACAUACUUUCCUUGUAAUUGAACCCCAAAGAGCACUGGCCUGGGAGUCAGACCUGGAUUUGAGUCCUCAGUCCCUUCAGACUCUCUCCGUGACCUUGGGCAAGUCACCAGUGUCUCUCUGAGCCUCGGUUUCCCCUCUGUAACAGACUGGGGUUGAAAUAACACCCAUCCUGCCUACCUCACAGGGUCACUCUGAGGAUGGACACUUGAUCUCAUUCAUCCAGGAGAGCUUUGCACUGGGAAGCAGCUCUGACCUGUGAGGUAUUAGUACGACCAUGACCUUCAGCCCUCCCACCAGCUGGGGAGGGUGCGGUGCGGCCCAGAGAAACUUCCUGCAAGGCCCUCUACCUAGGGACAGGAACAGCCCAGUCAGAGGCAGGCUCAGGACUCUUCUGACAUUCCUUAAUAGGUUCAUUCUUUGCUAAAGGCCAGAAUGGCACCGUCCAGGGGCGUCUGCACAAACGAGUGGUUUGCUCACUCCCUAAAGAAUCCUAAAGGCAGCUUCAACAGGCAGGCAAUAAUCUCUUCCCAGACCACUGCAGUCAGGAACACACUGCUGUCAACCACCAGGCUGUGACGAAAGGGCCCACGGGAAUCACCAUCGCCAACAUUUCAAAACACCCUAGUUCACGUAGCAUAGCUCUUCCUCCCCAUCCCUCAAAGAGAGGUUACAGAGGUUCUGUAGCUUUUAAGGGGGGAAAAAAUGUCAACACAUCACAGGUCAAGUUGAUGUC
rnacentral:lncRNA from 1 species